rnacentral:rRNA from 1 species
CGGGAGUAGCAAUACCCGCCGGCGACCGGCGCACGGGUGAGUAACACGUAUCCAACCUGCCGAUGACUCGGGGAUAGCCUUUCGAAAGAAAGAUUAAUACCCGAUGGCAUAGUUCUUCCGCAUGGUGGAACUAUUAAAGAAUUUCGGUUAUCGAUGGGGAUGCGUUCCAUUAGUUUGUUGGCGGGGUAACGGCCCACCAAGACUACGAUGGAUAGGGGUUCUGAGAGGAAGGUCCCCCACAUUGGAACUGAGACACGGUCCAAACUCCUACGGGAGGCAGCAUG